UUUCCGUAGGUGAACCUGCGGAAGGAUCAUUAAAAAAUUGGACUCCAUUGGUGAGUUCAUUAAUAAUCCCUACCCUUUGUGAAUUUGUUUGUUUGAAUAAUUUUUUUUCCAAAAAAAAUUAUUGAAUGUCUUUCCUUGUUUUGGUGGAGCUUGUAAAGUGAAACCAGGCAGGGGAAUGGCAAACAAUAAUUAUUUUUGAAAAAGACCUUUUUUUAAAAUUAAACUUUUUGUAUUCAUUUGUCUAAAAUUAAUUUUUAUAAUAUAAAAACAACUUUUGACAAUGGAUCUCUUGGUUCUCGCAGCGAUGAAGAACGCAGCAAAAUGCGAUAAGUAGUGUGAAUUGCAGAAUACGUGAAUCAUCGAAUCUUCGAACGCAUAUUGCACUUUUUUAGUUUACUAAAAAAGUAUGUCUGUUUGAGUAUCAGUAAAAUAUUCUCAUAAAAAACAUUGUUUUUUUUAUGGUUAUGAGUGUUUUACAACGAUAACAAGUUGUUUCACUUUAAAUUCUUUGUUAUCAAAAAAAUCAUUAAAAGCUAAUUUUAAAGAUUUUUUAAAAUUGGAUAAAAUUUUCCCGUAAAAAGGAAUAACCUAAACAAUUUUAAAAAAUUAAAAUUGGUUUGAUUUUUUUUGAAACCCAAAGGAAAAAAAAACGAAAUUAACUUGAUCUCAAAUCAGAUAAGAGUACCCGCUGAACUUAAGCAUAUCAAUAAGCGGAGGAAAAGAAACUAACUAGGAUUCCCUCAGUAACGGCGAGUGAAGCGGGAAGAGCUCAAAUUUGAAAUCUUCAAGGUUUUACCUUGACGAAUUGUAGUUUAAAGAAGUGUUUUCUGUUGGAGUUUUGGUAAAAGUUCUUUGGAAAAGGACAUCAUAGAGGGUGAGAAUCCCGUAUUUGACCAUUAUCUCCAGCUUUGUGAUACACUUUCAAAGAGUCGGAUUGUUUGGGAAUGCAGUCCAAAAUGGGUGGUAAAUUUUAUCUAAAGCUAAAUACUGGCGAGAGACCGAUAGCGAACAAGUACCGUGAGGGAAAGAUGAAAAGAACUUUGAAAAGAGAGUUAAACAGUACGUGAAAUUGUCAAAAGGGAAGCGUUUGACACCAGUGUUGUUUUCUCGAAAAUCAAUUAAAAAAGGCCGGAUUUUGUGUUGUAUUGACUUUAUCAGCUUUCUGCACUCUUUUCUUGUCUUUUUUAAUGCACUUUUCGUUUAACAAGUCAACAUCAAUUUCUUUUGUUGUAAAAGGGUCAUUGGAGGGUGGCUUUCUUUUCGGAGAAAGUGUUUAUAGCCUUUGGCCUCUGCAAUCGGAGAGAUUGAGGUCUGCAGCGUAGAUCCUUCGGGGUUAGAUACAUUUGUGCUAAGUUAUAGCCUUUCAUAGACAACUUGUUGACUAUGAUCAGUCAUGUAGCUUACUCGCUUAUGCUAUUUUACCUACGCUUAGGAUGUUGAG
rnacentral:misc_RNA from 1 species